UAGGCAUUAGGUUUAGCAGUGAGGUUAGGUUAGGCAUUGGGGUUAGCAGUGUGGUUAGGGUUAGGCAUUAGGGUUAGCAGUGUGGUUAGGUUAGGCAUUAGGGUUAGCAGUGAGGUUAGGCAUUAGGGUUAGCAGUGUGGUUAGGUUAGGCAUUAGGGUUAGCAGUGAGGUUAAAGGUUAGGCAUUAGGUUUAGCAGUGAGGUUAAGGGUUAGGCAUUAGGUUUAGCAGUGAGGUUAGGGUUAGGCAUUAGGGUUAGCAGUGUGGUUAAGGGUUAGGCAUUAGGUUUAGCAGUGAGGUUAGGGUUAGGCAUUAGGGUUAGCAGUGUGGUUAAGGGUUAGGCAUUAGGGUUAGCAGUGUGGUUAAGGGUUAGGCAUUAGGUUUAGCAGUGAGGUUAGGGUUAAGUUUCAAAUCAGAUUGUAUGACUUAGUGGCUGUACCAGCUAGUGACCACUCUGGAGAGCUACUUCCAGAACAAGAUUCAUGACGAAAACGCUAACCUGCUAUAGGAUGUGUAGGUUUAUAUUCCACACUUCAACCCAGCACUAAAACACCUGAUUUUAGUCAACAAGGAAAUGAGCAGUUCAUUAAUUAGUUGAGUCACCAAUGUACCUCUCUGGGACUAAGAUCUGAGGCCACUAGAUUAUUGUUUUCUGUUAUCCUUGUUGACAAUCAUUUACUUUUCAAUAGGCAGCCAUGAGGAAUCCCAC